rnacentral:rRNA from 1 species
CCCUUAGAUGUUCUGGGCCGCACGCGCGCUACACUGAUGCAUUCAACGAGUUCCUACCUUGGCCGAGAGGCCUGGGCAAUCUUUUGAACUUGCAUCGCGAUAGGGAUAGAUUAUUGCAAUUAUUAAUCUUGAACGAGGAAUUCCUAGUAAACGCAGAUCAUCAAUCUGCAUUGAUUACGUCCCUGCCCUUUGUACACACCGCCCGUCGCACCUACCGAUUGAAUGGUCCGGUGAAGCCUCGGGAUUGUGGUUAGUUUCCUUCAUUGGAAGUUAGCCGCGAGAACUUGUCUAAACCUUAUCAUUUAGAGGAAGGUGAAGUCGUAACA